rnacentral:piRNA from 1 species
UACCGUAUUCCAGUUCACAAACAGAAGGUUGC